rnacentral:rRNA from 1 species
AGGGUUCGAUUCUGGCUCAGGAUGAACGCUAGCGACAGGCUUAACACAUGCAAGUCGAGGGGCAGCACGGGAGUAGCAAUACAACUGGUGGCGACCGGCGCACGGGUGAGUAACGCGUAUGCAACCUACCUAUCAGAGGGGAAUAACCCGGCGAAAGUCGGACUAAUACCGCAUAAAACAGGGGCACCGCAUGGUGAUAUUUGUUAAAGAAAUUCGCUGAUAGAUGGGCAUGCGUUCCAUUAGGUAGUUGGUGAGGUAACGGCUCACCAAGCCGACGAUGGAUAGGGAACUGAGAGGUUGGUCCCCCACACUGGUACUGAGACACGGACCAGACUCCUACGGGAGGCAGCAGUGAGGAAUAUUGGUCAAUGGGCGAGAGCCUGAACCAGCCAAGUCGCGUGAAGGAAGAAGGAUCUAUGGUUCGUAAACUUCUUUUGCAGGGGAAUAAAGUGCGGGACGUGUCCUGUUUUGUAUGUACCCUGAGAAUAAGGAUCGGCUAACUCCGUGCCAGCCGCCGC